GGGUUUUCUGGGGGAGACGCUGGAUUCUUUUUCUUUUCUUCCACCUCUUCCUUCGCCCAAGCAACUAAAAAUCAAAAACCUACUCACGGCUUCUUCCUCCCGAUUUCGGAGCCCUCUUUCUUUCUCUCCUCCAUUGAAGCACCCCCAUAAACAAGGCCUUCAGUUCUCAACUAGAUUCCAGAGUAAAAGCCCAGAAAGCUAAUAUGGCGAAGCUAGAGCUUUCCAGCACUCUCAGGAUCUUAAAGUUUAUGCAAAGAGCAACUUAGAAAGAGGUGAAGAAAGAAGAAGAUGUCAAACCAUACCUCAUCACCUCAGGUUUCCUUUCUAAGAAGCCGAUUUUGGAUAGGGAAAGCCACCAUGGGUGACUCCAGGUACGGAGUUCAAGAAUCUAAUUGUGUUGAUGAAUACACGAGACGGAGAUGGCAUAGAAUUAUCCUUGAAUCUCAAGGAAGAAGACCUGGCCAUAUUUGAAAGCAAUAAGGAGGUGCUCGAGUAUGCAUCUUUAAAUCCAACUGUAAUUUAGUUUAGUAUUGUUAAACCUUUUAUGAUCUUUCAUUGUUUUAUUUCUUGCUUAUGUUUUUCUUAGGUGUGUACUAAAUUAGAUGUUGGUUUGGUUAUUUCCCAGCUUUCCGCAUGACUUUGGAUACCCAAUAGAGAAUAUGAAAAACCCAACUUUAAUUUUGUAAACUUUUUGUCCUAAAUGAAGGUAACAUGGGAAUUUGUUCUAAAUGACGUUCAAAGAACUUCAAACUCAACUUUGUCCUGAUGUUCUGUUCUCUGGAUGUCUAAUAUCAAUUUUUUAUCUGCUCACAGAGUCAUCUGAUUUACAUCUUUUGCUAGGGUGAUAAUGUGCCUCCACCAUUCAAUUCAUUUGAAUAUACUGGCCUCCCAUCUGAGAUUCAGAGGUAUUGAAUUAUUCUUCUGUUUUUGUUUCUUUUGUGCAAUACUGGUAGCCUUUAGUGUAAGUUAUCCGAGUGUUUUGUUCAAAGUUAUGUGAUUGCUAGAGGUCCAAUGUUGAGUUUCAUACUCAUGUUAAUUCUUUAGCCAUCUGCAUUUUUAUCGCAGGUGCGACGCUGUGCUGCCUUCUUUGUGAUUGUCUGUUUUUCUUUUGUUACCCAUUACUGUGAAUUAGUGGUGUGUAAAAGCCCAUCCUAGAGUAAAAUGGAGAGCACAUCCACCCUCAAUUAGUGGCACUUUUCUAUUGUUUAUGUACUAUUCGUCUCCUAUCAUAGCAAUUAGGUGACGUCUGUGUUGUAUUACAUUACAUGUGUUGCAACUUGCCACUAUUAUGCAGCUUUCAUAUUACUAGUAAUAUAAUAGCAGAGGCA